rnacentral:rRNA from 1 species
UACGGGGGGGGCAAGCGUUGUUCGGAAUUACUGGGCGUAAAGGGUUCGUAGGUGGCCCGCUAAGUCACACGUGAAAUCCCUCAGCUUAACUGGGGAACUGCGUGUGAGACUGGCAGGCUUGAGUGCAGGAGAGGAACGCGGAAUUCCAGGUGUAGCGGUGAAAUGCGUAGAUAUCUGGAGGAACACCGGUGGCGAAGGCAGCGUUCUGGACUGUAUCUGACACUGAGGAACGAAAGCCAGGGGAGCAAACGGG